AACGCACGAGACCUGCGGACCUGCGGAAGGAUCAUUACAGGACUCGCAAGACUCCUACAACCCUGUGAACUUAACUAUAAGCACGUUGCUUCGGCGGGUGUCUCGGCGAGGGUUCUCCCUCCCCGGGGCGCUAAGCCCGCCGGCAGCCUACUAUACUCUGUCUCUUUGCGUUGGCAUCUCGAGUACAAACAAACAAGUUAAAACUUUUAACAAUGGAUCUCUAGAUCGGAAGAGCACACG
rnacentral:misc_RNA from 1 species